UUUCUUUGUCAUUUAAAGUUUAUAAAUUUAUUAUUAACUUUAAAAUUUACAAUUUUUUUAUCCACUAACUUUGACUCAAAAUUUGUGAUUUGGUUAAUUCGAAACUAUUUUGAAACAAAUCAAAUACUUAACUUCAAUACAAAAAUCAAUUUAUGCAAAGACUUAUAAUGAGCAAUUAUAGGAAAGUUAAACCUGUUUUAAGUUCUAAGUGAGGGUUAAUUCAUUAUCAAUAAAGUGCAUAAUCCAUUUCUUUUUUGCUGAAUUAGAGCUUAUCCUAACUCCAAGGUGAGAACAUACACACACACAUAUCCACACCAAUUUAUUGGGUUUAGAACCAUCGUAAAA
rnacentral:lncRNA from 1 species